CCCUUAGAUGUUCUGAGCGGCCCGCGCACUACACUGGCACUCUCAAUCAGAGCCUGGAUCUAACACUUUGGGGUAUUCUAUGAAGUGGUGUCGUGACUGGGAUUAACCCUUGCAAUUAUUGGUUACGAACGAGGAAUUCCUUGUAAUCGCGGUUUAUCAGCCCGCGUUGAAUGCGUCCCUGCCCUUUGUACACACCGCCCGUCGCUCCUACCGAUGGAUCGUCCGGUGAAGCUCAUGGAGGGGCGGUUGUCUCAGCUGCCGUCGAAGUGAAAUGGACCUCACGAUCUAGAGGAAGGAGAAGUCGUAACA
rnacentral:rRNA from 1 species